rnacentral:lncRNA from 1 species
ACGCUUAUAGAAACGCUGCUACAUUGCAGUGGCAAUAUUAAAACACUUUUUCUGCACAACAGAAGUCCACAGGCUAAAAACUGACUCCAAACUCAAAUUCCUUAAACUCGCUCCAAAUUAUGCAGAAAAAACUACCAAGAAAAACACCUGAUUCAGUCAAUGUUCGAACUCCUAUAGGCAGCUCAAUAUAUAUUUUUAUUUGUUUCAUAUAAGCAUAUGGUGAUGAACAAUUUAAUUGUUUCAUAUUUUUUUACUACAAACUUAACUGAUAGGAAAAGAGAAUAACAAUAUACUUAUAUUUAUUAUGAAAUUGCAGUGGAGAGAAGCAUAAAGAGAAGUAUGACUCAAUUCAAAGCAUGAACCAAUUUAAAGAAUAUAAAGAUAACUAGAGAAGUAUGAAAUUGCAGUGAAGAGAAACAUAAAGAGAAGUAUGAAAUUGCAUCACUGAGACAUCAAAAACUAUUAAGCCACAAAAUUGUUCAUAAAGCAUAAUCCAGUAUAAAACAAAAUGAAUUUCAUAAUGACAAUAAAAAUCUUUAUGAAAACCAUAAGUAUAUCCCUUUUCAAAUUUAUUCUAUAAAGUGGUAAACCAUAACUAUAACCAUCAAGAUUAUAGCCCAUGUUAUUUGUCAAGAAACUGAUUAGUUAUUGAUGUAGAACUCACAUCAAAGUGAAGCCCAUCUUACCCAAUUAAUGCUUUUCAAAUCAUUCUUACCUAAAAGGUUUGUUGCAACUUAUCUACCAACACAACCAAAUAUCUAAAGGAUUCAUAUUUCAUUGAGUUAAUACUUAUUCAAGAGGAGGCCUGUUUUCUAUUUUCAUCGAGUUAAUUACAGGAAAAGAAAAGGGUUGCAACAAAGGGAUUCAGACUUGAAAAGAGAGAUUCAAGAAAAAGGCUUGCUGUCUUUUAGGACAAAUGCAACACACUUUUGAAGUACACAUCCAAUAAUCAUUGUUAACUUCUCAUUAGUAAAUGGAUUUAGUAGGAGUUUUUACUUAACAAUUCACAGCAAAGCUUAUAUUCCAUUCAAUCUUCAAACAUUGAAUUAGGAUCGAAGCAAUCAAAAUCCUAAACAACAAAAAAAUAACAGCAAGCAUGCAAAAAAAAAAAAACCGAUAAACACCUAGAAAUUUGUGAGGCCUUCAAGACCAUCAGGAUACAAAGAGAGCGAAUGACACCAACAUUCAUGGAAACAACACAUUUCAAUAAAACAAUCAAAAUCAGCUGGAGAAAACGCAUAUUUCAUCUUUUCAACGCACGUGAUGUAAGUGGCUGAAUAGAAAUGGAAAAAAAUGGAGAUCAAAGAGAAAUGAACCUUAUCGAUAUCAGGAAUCGUUGAUGAGGAUAAUUUAAGAGUGUUGCAGAGAAUGAUUCUACUGUAAUCCAUUUUGUCAAUUCGUGCCUUCGCAAUCUGUCAUUGUACGAAUAGUGUUGUAAGGUUGUUUAUGUUCGUUGGGGUCAAAAUUGGAAUAGAGAAAAGAGAAGAUUUGUUGUAAAAUGGAGAUGAGGGAGCGAGCAGAGGAAUUGAAUAUACGAUAUUGAUUUCAAACUCUAUUGUGAAUUUUCUCUUUAGUCUCUCAAUUUAUAUCACAUCAUCUUCAAAAUGAAAUAUAUCAUCUAACAUAAACAAUAAUAUCGAUAAAAACACUCACAUACCAUACCCCCC